CCUUCCCCUUCGGGGGCAGGGGUGACAGGUGGUGCAUGGUUGUCGUCAGCUCGUGUCGUGAGAUGUUGGGUUAAGUCCCGCAACGAGCGCAACCCUUGUCCUUAGUUGCCAGCAUUUGGUUGGGCACUCUAGGGAGACUGCCGGUGACAAACCGGAGGAAGGUGGGGAUGACGUCAAAUCAUCAUGCCCCUUAUGAGUUGGGCUACACACGUGCUACAAUGGACGGUACAAAGGGCAGCGAAGCCGCGAGGUGGAGCCAAUCCCAGAAAGCCGUUCUCAGUUCGGAUUGCAGGCUGCAACUCGCCUGCAUGAAGUCGGAAUCGCUAGUAAUCGCAGGUCAGCAUACUGCGGUGAAUACGUUCCCGGGUCUUGUACACACCGCCCGUCACACCACGAGAGUUUGCAACACCCGAAGUCGGUGAGGUAACCGUAAGGAGCCAGCCGCCGAAGGUGGGGCAGAUGAUUGGGGUGAAGUCGUAACAAGGUAGCCGUAUCGGAAGGUGCGGCUGG
rnacentral:rRNA from 1 species